GGUAAACUAGCCAUAUCAGUAUAACCAGUACUUUAGCCAUAUCAAUAUAACCAGUAGUCUAGCCAUAUCAAUAUAACCAGUAGACGAGCCAUAUCAGUACAACCAGUGGUCUAGCCAUAUCAGUAUAACCGUUAGUCUAGCCAUAUCAGUACAACCGGUAGUCUAGCCAUAUCAGUAUAACCGGUAGACUAGCCAUAUCAGUAUAACCGGUAGUCUAGCCAUAUCAGUAUAACCGGUGGUCCAGCCAUAUCAGUAUAACCGGUAGUUUAGCAAUAUCAGUAUAACCAGUAGUCCAGCCAUAUCAGUAUAACCAGUAGUAUAGCCAUAUCAGUAUAACUGGUAGUCGAGCCAUAUCAGUAUAACUGGUAGUCUAACCAUAUCAGUAUAACUGGCAGUAUAGCCAUAUCAGUAUAACAGGUAGUCUAGCCAUAUCAGUAUAACCGAUAGUAUAGUCAUAUCAGCAUAACUGGUAGUAUAGCCAUAUAAGUAUAACCAGUAGUUAAGCCAUAUCAGUAUAACCGGUGGUCUAGCAAUACCAGUAUAACCGGUAGUUUAGCCAUAUCAGUAUAACCGGUGGUCUAGCAAUAUCAGUAUAACCGGUAGUUAAGCCAUAUCAGUAUAACCAGUAGUAUAGAUAUAUCAGUAUAACCAGUAGUCUAGCCAUAUCAGUAUAAC